rnacentral:rRNA from 1 species
AUGAACGCUGACAGAAUGCUUCACACAUGCAAGUCUACUUGAACUUCGGUUUGGGUGGCGGACGGGUGAGUAACGCGUAAAGAACUUGCCUCACAGAUAGGGACAACAUUUGGAAACGAAUGCUAAUACCUGAUAUUAUGAUUUUAGGGCAUCCUAGAAUUAUGAAAGCUAUAUGCACUGUGAGAGAGCUUUGCGUCCCAUUAGCUAGUUGGAGAGGUAACGGCUCACCAAGGCGAUGAUGGGUAGCCGGCCUGAGAGGGUGAUCGGCCACAAGGGGACUGAGACACGGCCCUUACUCCUACGGGAGGCAGCAGUGGGGAAUAUUGGACAAUGGACCAAGAGUCUGAUCCAGCAAUUCUGUGUGCACGAUGAAGUUUUUCGGAAUGUAAAGUGCUUUCAGUUGGGAAGAAAAAAAUGACGGUACCAACAGAAGAAGUGACGGCUAAAUACGUG